rnacentral:pre_miRNA from 1 species
AAAAUGACAAACCCUGGUUUCCGUGUCCAACGUUCGACCGUCCGUCUUAUUUGAAAAAAUUAUAAAAAAAAAUUAAAAGACAAGUCACGCAUAAAAUAUUAAUCAUGUUUUAUCAUCUAACAACAAUGAAAAUACGAAUUAUAAAAAAAUUUCAUAUAAGACGAACAGUCAAAGUUGGACAUGGAAACCUAGGGUUUGCCUUUUU